rnacentral:rRNA from 1 species
UACGUAGGGUCCGAGCGUUGGCCGGAAUUAUUGGGCGUAAAGGGCUCGUAGGCGGUUCGUCACGUCGGGAGUGAAAACUCGGAGCUUAACUCCGAGCCUGCUUCCGAUACGGGCAGACUAGAGGUAGGCAGGGGAGAGCGGAACUCCUGGUGUAGCGGUGGAAUGCGCAGAUAUCAGGAAGAACCCCGGUGGCGAAGGCGGCUCUCUGGGCCUUACCUGACGCUGAGGAGCGAAAGCGUGGGUAGCGAACAGG